AGCAGCCGCGGUAAUUCCAGCUCCAAUAGCGUAUAUUAAAGUUGUUGCAGUUAAAAAGCUCGUAGUUGAAUUUCGGGGUUAGUAGGUUGGUCGUGCCACUGGUACGUACUGGUCUCACUGAUUCCUCCUUCCUGAUGAACUGUAAUGCCAUUAAUUUGGUGUUGCAGGGAAACUGGACUGUUACUUUGAAAAAAUUAGAGUGUUUAAAGCAAGCUAACGCUUGAAUACAUUAGCAUGGAAUAAUGAAAUAGGACGUUCGAUCCUAUUUUGUUGGUUUCUAGGAUUGACGUAAUGAUUAAUAGGGAUAGUUGGAGGCAUUAGUAUUCAAUUGUCAGAGGUGAAAUUCUUGGAUUUAUUGAAGACUAACUACUGCGAAAGCAUUUGCCAAGGAUGUUUUCAUUAAUCAAGAACGAAAGUUAGGGGAUCGAAGACGAUCAGAUACCGUCGUAGUCUUAACCAUAAACUAUGCCGACUAGGGAUCGGAUGAUGUUAAUUUUUUAAUGACUCAUU
rnacentral:rRNA from 1 species